CUAAUGAUCCUCCUGCUUCAGCUUCAUGAGUGCUGGGAUUACAGGCGUGUGCCCCCACACCCAGCAGGCCCAUCCUUCUUCAUGGGACGGUGACUGGCAUUCAGACCACGGCCACAGGCAAGCAGCACUUGGGCCAGACGAAGAGGCAGCGUGAAGGGGCACGGGACGUCACAGGCGGACACUGCACUGUGGAGGUGCACAGCCCGGGGACCCCGCUGGGACCCGAGUCCUGUGUCGCGGCCAUGGCGCCUCCAGUGACGGAUGGUCUUCAAUGGCUGUGCGCACGCAGGGAUGACUUCACCCAGGACACACCCGGAGAGGGAGCUAGAGUCGAGGCAGGCAGCACCUCAGCCCUACGGGACCUGCUUGGACUUGCUCAGUCUGACGAAUGAGAGGCUGUGUGCACCACAUGUGUGAGUGUGUGUGUCUGUCCCAGGGCCGGAGGGCUUAAGCCUGAUGGAGGAGGCGGACCUGGUGAAAAGACUCAGGGAAGCAGGGACCAAGGGGACUGGGUUCUCCCUUGACUGACUCAUUCUGUGACACUUCAGGGCAGGACACUUCCGAGCCAUCCCAGGGUCCCUGGUGUCAGGUGGAGCAGUCCUAGGAGGCCUCUGGGAGGAGACAAGGAGGCUGUGUCCCAUGGAAUACAGAACACACAGGAGAAAGCUGUCAAAGAUCAGAGCCUGGCUGUCCCUGCGCUCCCUCCGGAGAAGCCUGGCUCCCACACAGGCCCUGGGGCUUCUGCGGAGGGUUUGGUGUGGGCACUGGUGCUCCAGACACAUCCUUCCUGAUGCAGAGGCGGCCUGAUGCUGGACUCCAGCACAGGGAGGGGGCAGAUUCCAGCACAGGCUUGCUGCCUGCCCCCACCCUGCCCAUACCUUCACAGUGGGGCGGCCCAGUGGGGGCAGCAGCGGGAUAAGCCCCUCUCGAUGCGCAGAGCAGGACCGCCCUACAGUGUGCUCAUUCUUUGCUGUCUCCUGGUCAGAUCUCUUCAAAGUGACCACUCCACAGGGCUACAAGUUCUUCCUGGUGUCCAGGCUUAGUCACUCUUGCUGGUGCACCUGAUUCAUUUAUCAGAGGACAAGUCGAGGGCCCUAUUACCCUGCCACCCAGUCUGACAUCACUAAACUGUCCCUGGGCCAUGUUCCCACUCCCAGGUCUGCCCAGUGGCACAGGAAGUGGCUGCUGGAUGAAUGUGCAGGUGACUAAGGGCUUGGAUCUGCCUCCCAGGAAGUGGCUGAGAAGCAGCUAAGCAGCAGCUGGGUGCCUGGGGCCAGGGCUGAGACGGAGACAGAAACAGAGACCCAGGGGGCGGGCAGCUGGUCAGGACGAGCAGCACAGCUUAAGAGAGACCAAGCAGCCCCAGGGAGCGAGGUGUUCAAGGCUCAGAGGGUGCUGGCGUCAAGGGCCCAGCCAGGGCCAGGCCAAGGCUGGUGGGGUUAUGGGACACCCCUGGGACCCGGGGUGUGGGAAGUGGCCCAGGGCAGCAUGGCCUACCCUCACGUUGCAGAGUAAGGACCAGGACCCUGCCACCUGGUCACAGCCUGGGUCCCUGUUUCCUGUCAGGAGCCCUAGCCAGGCACAGUGCUGAGGUGGGGAUUUCCAGAGAUGGCCCUGAGGGUCAGAGAGGCCACAUGGCCUACAACUGCGUGCAAGGAAAGCUGUGGGGUUGGUCCCUCGUGUACUCCCUGACCCCCAGGCCUGUUUCAGGAGUCAGUUCAGGAGGUGACUGCUGCCCCAUCCGGUCCUGUACUUGGGCACGCUGGCACUGCCAGGCACUUACUUGGCCCGUUGAGGGCCCAGCCCCCAGCCCAGCACCCGCGGGCUUCCCCAGCCCUGGGUGAGGGCAGCAGAAGGAACAAAGGCGCAGUCUCUGCCUGCUCAAGCCCCCACCCCCUUGCCUGCCCCUGGCACAGAAGGACCAGGGCCCUGAGGGAGCCUGAGAGCGAGGGCAACACCCACCCUUGCCAGCACUGAGAGCCCUUCUUCCCCUCACCCCACGGUGCAAGCCCGCUGCGGAGCAACACGGUUUCUCCAUUCAGGAGCCCAGAGAACUAAGUGGGAGACACAGGGCCAGCACUCACACGGCUGCGACUGGAACCCAGGGCCCACGGUUGGCGGAACCCGGCCUCUGCCCGUCACAGGCCAGGCCGUGAAGGCAGUGACUGUGUCCUGGCCCUGUGUGACUGCGGGUGGCGAGGGGACAGGGUCGGGGAAGGCACAGCCAGGGCAACCCGAUGGGAAAGACCGGAAGGGCCGUGUUGCUCUCAGCCUGCCCACCCUGCUGACCACCUCCUACCUGGGGCCACCCGGGCCUGAUCACACAGCCUGCUGAAGGGACACAGCUGUUGGAAGCAGAAGUGGGGGAACUGAGUUGGCACCCAGGCCUCCUAAGUCCCUGCUUGGGGCUCACCUGACGCAGCCAGGGAGGCAUACCCUGCUUGGAACUUCACAUCCACCCUACUGGAAACAGGGUUGAGGCCCCUGGGAGUGCCCCUUCCUCCCCACAGCCACGGCCACCAUCCUCAGGUCUUUCCCUGCCCCUGGCUGCAGCCUGGGCCUCUCUCUGCCCACACCCUGCCUGUGGAAGCCUUGGUGAUGCAGGCCCGAGCAGGGCUGAUGCCUCCUUGCAAACUGAGGCCCUAAGCAGCACAUGAACAUAACGAGCUCCCCAGGCUCAUGUGAACGGCGCCCACUGUCUGUCUGUGUGCUGGUCCAGCUCUACAGAUGGAAGCCGGGGUGCUCCCACCUCGGGGGCACCUCCGGCUUGUCUAUACAAGUACCUAGCAGACAAAAGGGAGGUCCAGGCCACGCCUCAUGGAACCAGUGCCCCACAUCAAUGCCCCAGGCCCGCUGCCCUUACCAAACACCAGAACUCAUUUUAAAGAAAAAAUAAUAUUUAUUUGCAAUAUAAACAAAGUCCUGUUGCUGGUUUGGGAGAUAUAUAUAUAUAUAUAUAUGUAUGUGUGUGUGCGUGUAUGUGUGUGUGUGUAUAUGUAGGGUCACAAAUUUUCCUUCAUAAGCUCAUAAAGCAAAACUGGCCACCCUCUGGCAUAUCAUGUACACAACUCAGACACAUCUUUCUGGGUUUUUCUUUUUUGAAAAAUAAAGAGAGAGAAAGAGAACCAUGUA